rnacentral:rRNA from 1 species
CCUACGGGUGGCAGCAGUGAGGAAUAUUGGUCAAUGGACGAGAGUCUGAACCAGCCAAGUAGCGUGAAGGAUGACUGCCCUAUGGGUUGUAAACUUCUUUUAUAAAGGAAUAAAACGAGGCACGUGUGCCUUUUUGCAUGUACUUUAUGAAUAAGGAUCGGCUAACUCCGUGCCAGCAGCCGCGGUAAUACGGAGGAUCCGAGCGUUAUCCGGAUUUAUUGGGUUUAAAGGGAGCGUAGAUGGGUUGUUAAGUCAGUUGUGAAAGUUUGCGGCUCAACCGUAAAAUUGCAAUUGAUACUGGCAGUCGUGAGUACAGUUGAGGUAGGCGGAAUUCGUGGUGUAGCGGUGAAAUGCUUAGAUAUCACGAAGGACCCCGAUUGCGAAGGCAGCUUACUAAACUGUGACUGACAUUGAUGCUCGAAAGUGUGGGUAUCAAACAGGAUUAGAUACCCGAGUAGUC